GUUGUCCGGAAUUAUUGGGCGUAAAGAGCUCGUAGGCGGUUUGUCGCGUCUGCUGUGAAAACCCGAGGCUCAACCUCGGGCCUGCAGUGGGUACGGGCAGACUAGAGUGCGGUAGGGGAGAUUGGAACUCCUGGUGUAGCGGUGGAAUGCGCAGAUAUCAGGAAGAACACCGAUGGCGAAGGCAGAUCUCUGGGCCGUAACUGACGCUGAGGAGCGAAAGCGUGGGGAGCGAACAGG
rnacentral:rRNA from 1 species